AGCAAUGGCGGGCGUGCUAUACAUGCAGUCGAACGAGUUCUCGUUGAUGAUCGGUGCUUGCACCGAGAUUCAACAUGGAACGAGUGGCGGACGGGUGAGUAACACGUGGGUAACCUGCCCUUAAGUGGGGGAUAACAUUUGGAAACAGAUGCUAAUACCGCAUAGAUCCAAGAACCGCAUGGUUCUUGGCUGAAAGAUGGCGUAAGCUAUCGCUUUUGGAUGGACCCGCGGCGUAUUAGCUAGUUGGUGAGGUAAUGGCUCACCAAGGCGAUGAUACGUAGCCGAACUGAGAGGUUGAUCGGCCACAUUGGGACUGAGACACGGCCCAAACUCCUACGGGAGGCAGCAGUAGGGAAUCUUCCACAAUGGACGCAAGUCUGAUGGAGCAACGCCGCGUGAGUGAAGAAGGCUUUCGGGUCGUAAAACUCUGUUGUUGGAGAAGAAUGGUCGGCAGAGUAACUGUUGUCGGCGUGACGGUAUCCAACCAGAAAGCCACGGCUAACUACGUGCCAGCAGCCGCGGUAAUACGUAGGUGGCAAGCGUUAUCCGGAUUUAUUGGGCGUAAAGCGAGCGCAGGCGGUUUUUUAAGUCUGAUGUGAAAGCCCUCGGCUUAACCGAGGAAGCGCAUCGGAAACUGGGAAACUUGAGUGCAGAAGAGGACAGUGGAACUCCAUGUGUAGCGGUGAAAUGCGUAGAUAUAUGGAAGAACACCAGUGGCGAAGGCGGCUGUCUGGUCUGUAACUGACGCUGAGGCUCGAAAGCAUGGGUAGCGAACAGGAUUAGAUACCCUGGUAGUCCAUGCCGUAAACGAUGAAUGCUAGGUGUUGGAGGGUUUCCGCCCUUCAGUGCCGCAGCUAACGCAUUAAGCAUUCCGCCUGGGGAGUACGACCGCAAGGUUGAAACUCAAAGGAAUUGACGGGGGCCCGCACAAGCGGUGGAGCAUGUGGUUUAAUUCGAAGCAACGCGAAGAACCUUACCAGGUCUUGACAUCUUUUGAUCACCUGAGAGAUCAGGUUUCCCCUUCGGGGGCAAAAUGACAGGUGGUGCAUGGUUGUCGUCAGCUCGUGUCGUGAGAUGUUGGGUUAAGUCCCGCAACGAGCGCAACCCUUAUGACUAGUUGCCAGCAUUUAGUUGGGCACUCUAGUAAGACUGCCGGUGACAAACCGGAGGAAGGUGGGGAUGACGUCAAAUCAUCAUGCCCCUUAUGACCUGGGCUACACACGUGCUACAAUGGAUGGUACAACGAGUUGCGAGACCGCGAGGUCAAGCUAAUCUCUUAAAGCCAUUCUCAGUUCGGACUGUAGGCUGCAACUCGCCUACACGAAGUCGGAAUCGCUAGUAAUCGCGGAUCAGCACGCCGCGGUGAAUACGUUCCCGGGCCUUGUACACACCGCCCGUCACACCAUGAGAGUUUGUAACACCCGAAGCCGGUGGGGUAACCCUUUUAGGGAGCGAGCCGUCUAAGGUGGGACAAAUGAUUAGGGUGAAGUCGUAACAACGAGGCCAGCCC
rnacentral:rRNA from 1 species